ensembl:lncRNA
CUCAUUUUUCUGAGACACCAGGUGAACAGAGAAGCUCAGAGACUCUUGCCCAGAGUUGACCAGUUGGCCAGUAACAACGCAAAUAACACAGCAUAGGAACUGGGUCUGCGGUAGGUCACUGUUACACAGCCUGGCCACUGUGUAUUUCCUCAUGUACCAAUCAUUUUUACACAGGCCGGUGACCAUCCUUCGUAAUGAAGCUGGUAUGUUUAAUCCCCAAGCAAAACCUCCUUGACAGCGCUCUUCCCACGAACCUGCCUUAGCCGCGGUACUCUGCGUCAUCGACAGCAUCAAGUCCUCUUUCAAAUAACCUGAGAGGCCUUGGGAACCAUCUCUCUGAAAUGCAAUCAUCGAGGAAGACAGCAUUCCUAUCUUCUAGUCGCUAUGGGAGAGUGGAAGCCUAACUUCAGUGGGCAUCUCCUUCCAAGUUGCAAAACUACCUCUCGUUGUAAAGAUAUGAGAAGUUUACUUAUCCUUUGGAUGAGCCCAAUGAGCUAACACAGAUGGUGACCUCGGCUAUCAGAUGAAUUUCGAAUGAAUGCAGCAUUAUUCACACCAACCAAAAAGUGGAAGCAGUCCAUGUGUCCUCGGAAGGAUGACUGGACAAGAUGUGGUGUGUAUGGACCACGGAAUAUUACUCAGGCUGAAAAAGGAAGGAAGUUCUGACAGAUGCUAUGACACGGAUUGGACCUUGAGGACGUGAUGCUGAGUGAACAACACCGGUCACAAGAGGACAGACGGUAUGAUUCCACUUACACGAGGUACCUAGAGAAGUCAAAUUCAUAUUAACAGUAGAAUGGAGAAAUGAAAGCGGAACGGGGGCCGCCAGAGGCUGGGGGAGCGGGGGAGGGUGAGUUAGUGUUUAAUGCGGACAAUGUUUAAUGAGUUUCAGUUUGGGAAAAUGAAAAAGUUCUAUGGGUGAAUGGUGGUGAUGGUUACACAACAGGGUGGAUAUAUUCAAUGACACUCAACUGUAUCCUCUCCCUCCCUCCCUUCCUCUCUUUUAUCACUCAGCUAAAAAAAGAGAGAGUUCUCACUGGAGGUAUGCAAAAAAUAGUUUGGUUUCAUUUUCUCCAAUUGACUGCAGGCGUCUUCUGGAGCUAACAGAGCCCAGUCCAGCUCCCUGUCAGGAGUCCCCCUUUCUCAUGCCCACCUCUGGUUCAGGCCUCCCCGCCUCUCCCCCCACACCCGGCCAGCCCCUGGCUGGCUUUCGGAUCAUGCUCUGACCCAGGCCUUCAGUUGUUUUCACCAUGAAUGUUUAUAGUACAGUUUCGAUGAAAGUGCCAGGAAUCAGGUUAGGUUCUGGGAAGACAGAACUAAACAGUGUGGCAGCCCUCAAAAUUACGUUACUCCUCUGAUCCUAAACAAUGGCCUGGAAUGAAGCACAGAUUAAAGAUGGCUCCAGUCCUCACUGCUCUAUUCCCUGUCUCUUCUCAGUCCGUCCCUUCUGUGACCAUUUGAUGGGUUUUGUCUCUCCUCACCUUUGUCCACACUGAUCAUGUGGCUUACGAUACCUCCACACUGAUCAUGUGGCUUAGGAUACGUCCACACUGAUCAUGUGGCUUAGGAUACGUCUACACUGAUCAUGUGGCUUAGGAUACCCUAUCUGUUC